rnacentral:lncRNA from 1 species
AAGAUUUGUUUUAACAGAUUAAUAUAAUAAAUAGACUUUGAGGUAGCUUUCAGAUGAAGGCAGAAUAUAUAGCAAAUUUAUCUCAGAUAUAAAAUUGCACCUUUCAUAUAUGUUGAAACUACCAUGAGUUUACUUAAUAAUCUGAGAGGUUUUGAACAGCUCAUUAAAAUUUCUCUCCUCCAUCUAUUUGAUUCAUUAUCUCAGAUAUGUCUCCAGCACUGACUACUUGGACUCCAUAUUACUUUGCACUUCUAAGCUACUGUGAUUCCAAUUCUACAGGAACAAGACUGAGACGCCUGCACAAAAAUAACGUGUGAGAUCUGCUAUGUAUCUCCAUCUAUGUAGAGGUAGAAAGUGAUACAGGUCCAGCAGAAGAAGACUGUGAGUGCUGGUGAUCACUCAUUCGUAUGGAAGUGCUGUUGGCAGCUCUGCAGAAGAGGCAGCCUAGUUUUGGAGAUUUUUUCCUCCUUUACCUGGGAUUUAGUGUUUUGAAUCAAAUCAGACUGCGCUACUUCUAUCAAUAUAGAGAAGAGAUAAAAACAUUCUGACUGACUGAAUCCUGGCUGAGAUCAGGUACAAAGAGAUAAGAAACAUUCUUAACAUAGUGGAUGAGAGUGUUCUGGAUAUAAAUUUUUUUUUUGGAUAUAAGGGUUUUUUUUAUUUUGGGGUCACAAAUUCUUUUUGAUAUUGAACAGAAUCUCCUAAUAAAUGUCAAGAAAUCACAUGGCUGCCA